AUGGCGCUCUCGAAGCCCCUCUUCUCCCGCCUCCUUCCCUUCUCCCUCCGCCUCCCCGCCCGCCCCCAGCACCGUCUCCUCUGCCUCGCCACCCCCACCGAUCUCCCGGAUGCCCCCACCGACGCCUCCGCCGAGCGCCGCCGCCGCAAGCGCCGCCUCCGCGUGGAGCCGCCGUCCUCCCGCGGCCCGACUCCCCAGCGCACCCCUGGAGGGCCCCGCCCCUCGUCUAACCCCAACGCUCUCAAGCUCCCUGAGCCAGCGUCGGUCCUCUCCGGCAAGCGCCUCGAUCUCCAUCGCCGCAUCCUCACGCUCGUCCGCGAGAACGACCUCGACGAGGCGGCGCUCCUCACCCGCCACUCCAUCUACUCCAACUGCCGCCCCACCGUAUUCACCUGCAACACAGUACUAGCUGCGCUCCUCCGGCAGGCGCGCUACGCGGAUCUCCUCUCCCUGCACCGCUUCGUCACCCAGGCCUCCGUCGCGCCCACCGUCGCCACCCACAACCUCCUCCUUCAGGCCUACUGCGACUGCCGUCGCCCUGAAACCGCGCUGGAGCACUUCCGUCUCCUACUCAAGGACGACUCCCCUGUCCUCCCAUCCCCAACCACAUAUCGUAUCCUUGCCCGCUCCCUCGCCGAGAACGGCAAGCUCGAUCUGGCGCUCGAGCUCAAGGACGGCAUGCUCGAGCGUGGCCUUAUCGCUCCCGACCCCCAGGUCUAUGCGUUCGUCAUGGGUGGUUUUGUCAACGCCGGGGAUGGUGACACGGCGGUCUCACUGUACGAGGAGCUUAAGGAGAAGCUUGGUGGCGGGCUGAUCCUUGAUGGUGUGGUGUACGGGAACCUUAUGAAGGGGUACUUUCUAAAGGGUAUGGACAAGGAGGCCAUGGAUUGCUACACCGAGGUGCUUGGAGAGGGAUCCAAGGUGAGAUUUGAGGCUGUUAGCUACAACAUGGUGCUUGAUGCGCUUGGUAGGAAUGGGAGGUUAGAUGAUGCAGUCGAGUUGUUUGAUAGGAUGUGCAAAGAGCAUGACCCGCCCAGGAGGAUUGCUGUGAAUCUUGGUAGUUUUAAUGUGAUGGUUGAUGCGUACUGCCGUGUGGAAAGAUUCCAGGACGCAAUUGAGGUGUUUGGCAAAAUGGGUGAGAAAAGCUGCACACCAGAUGCACUCUCAUACAAUAGUCUGAUUGACUGGCUGGGGAAGAAUGAACUUGUUGGUGAGGCAGAAGGACUGUACAAGGAGAUGGGGGAGCGUGGUAUUAAUCCUGACGAAUACAGUUAUGUCUUGCUCAUUGAGUCCUGCUUCAGGGUUGAUAAUGUGGAUGACGCUGUUGGUUACUUCAAUAAGAUGUUUGAUGUUGGUCUCAGGCCCAAUGCCAAUUCCUUUAACAAAGUCAUAAGUGGCUUGGUGAAGGUUGAUAGGAUUGACGAGGCACAGGGGUUCUUUGAUCUGAUGCCCGAAAAGGAGGUCAAGCCAAACAUUGCUAGCUAUGAAUCAUUGUUGAGAGCAUACAUCAAUGUUGCAAGGUUGGAUGAUGCAAUUAAGAUGGCCAAGGGUAUUCUUUUGGAUGAGAGUAUUGUAUUUACUGAUGAAUUGAAGGCACUUCUAUACGGGGCAUUGCAGAAAGAGGGGAGAAACGGGGAUAUGACAAAGUUGUAUGAGGAUGUUGAGACGGAGAAAGCAGAGGCUGCAGCACGUGCAGCUGAAGAGAAGGCUAGGGCAGAGGCUCUUGCUAAAGAAGAAGAGGAGAAGAAGAAGGCUGAGGCUAAGGCUAAGGAGGAAUCUGCUGCCAGAGCAAGUAGAGCAGCUAUUGACGCGGUGCUGGGUCGCAAGAGCGGAGCAGAAAAUGGUGAAUCGUCUCAAGAAAUGAGUGUUGAGGAGGCACAGGUUGUUGAAUCUCACAGUGACGCUGUUGGUGCUGCAGAACAGAAUGAAGGUGAUGACCAGAAGAAAGAGUCUGGUGAUGCAACGUCGCAGGUCAUAGCUUCAUCAUCUUAG
rnacentral:rRNA from 1 species